GAAGAGCCACGAAAGCUAUUGUGAUUACUUCUGUGGCAAAGCAUUGCUUCAAGAAAAACAUCUCAGAGACAUAGUUGACUGCUACUACUUUGGUCUCAGCUAGUUGCAGAAGAGAGGUUUUGGCCUGAACUACUGCUGGGAGCCUCUUCUUCCACCUUCCUGAGAGACCAGUACUGCAGCAGCAGCAGGCUGAGGUCAUGAUGCUGACUGCCAGGCGAUGGGACCAUUGCCUGUACCCUGGCCUGGGGCGUACAGAGCAAGACGUGAGAAACUACUGGACACGGCACGAGAAAUUGCUGGACCUGACAGAUCACAGAGUGAGAAGCUGACAGCUUUACAGAGGUAUGAAGGUACUUGGGAACAGCAAGACAUUGGCUGAGAAUAAAGAUUCCAGUUCAGCAUAACCCUCUUCACAACACUUGGACUGACUGCAUUCCUGGGAAGCAGGGCACAGCUUUGUUAACGCAGCAGAGUUGCACGUGGUUGCCUCAGGAGUUCAUCUGGCAGCUUCACUGCAAGGAACUGAUUCAGAAGUGUAAGUUAAGCUGCUCAGGCUUUGUGUGUGGAUGUUGCCCUACUUCUGUGCUCUGCCUCUGUGUGCUUCCAAUUCAGUAUACCUGCUCUGGUCUGCCAGCUUCUUCAACUGGUAACUGUGCCUUCCCUGGCAAAUGUGCACAGCACCUCACCUGGCAACGGUCUAACUCAAGAAGCUUCUUUCACAACAUUGGAGAGUGUUGUGUGCCACGGUUGUCCAUUUACUACUGCGAGCAGCUGUACCAUUUAAUUCUGGAGUGACGGUCCAACAGCUUACCUGAGCAGUAAGAGCUGAGCAGGAAUCUGAAGUCUCUGUGACUGAACUGGAAGCCGGAUACAAAAGCAUUAUUCUUCAGUUGCAAGAUUAUGUCUCUUUUCUUCAUGUGUAUAAAAAUCAAUAAUAUUUAACACCUUCUCCAUGGCCUGGUUGUGACAAAGGAGCAAUCAGAAAAUGGCACAACUUGUUUCAAAGGUGGAUGAUAGAGGGCAAAUGCAAGCGCAAACCUUGCAAUUCCACAGCAGAAGCUUUUCUGUGUACUAGUGGAGAAUAGACAAAAAUAUCUCUAAUAACAUCUCCUGGCUUUUUGAGAGCUAAAAACCAUGGAACGUAAAGGAUGAUUGAUGACAUCAACUAAGCAACCAAAAAAUACGUAUCUAGAAAGAGUAAUCUCUGUUCUGGUACCAAAUAAAUAUUUCAUUUCUCUU